UACGAAGGGGGCUAGCGUUGCUCGGAAUCACUGGGCGUAAAGGGUGCGUAGGCGGGUCUUUUAAGUCAGGGGUGAAAUCCUGGAGCUCAACUCCAGAACUGCCUUUGAUACUGAAGAUCUUGAGUUCGGGAGAGGUGAGUGGAACUGCGAGUGUAGAGGUGAAAUUCGUAGAUAUUCGCAAGAACACCAGUGGCGAAGGCGGGUCUCUGGACAACACCUGACGCUGAGGCACGAAAA
rnacentral:rRNA from 1 species